rnacentral:rRNA from 1 species
AAAUUGAAGAGUUUGAUCAUGGCUCAGAUUGAACGCUGGCGGCAGGCCUAACACAUGCAAGUCGAACGGUAACAGGAAGAAGCUUGCUUCUUUGCUGACGAGUGGCGGACGGGUGAGUAAUGUCUGGGAAACUGCCUGAUGGAGGGGGAUAACUACUGGAAACGGUAGCUAAUACCGCAUAACGUCGCAAGACCAAAGAGGGGGACCUUCGGGCCUCUUGCCAUCGGAUGUGCCCAGAUGGGAUUAGCUAGUAGGUGGGGUAACGGCUCACCUAGGCGACGAUCCCUAGCUGGUCUGAGAGGAUGACCAGCCACACUGGAACUGAGACACGGUCCAGACUCCUACGGGAGGCAGCAGUGGGG